UGGCCAGACUCCUACGGGAGGCAGCAGUGGGGAAUAUUGCACAAUGGGGGGAACCCUGAUGCAGCGACGCCGCGUGGGUGAAGGAGCACCUCGGUGCGUAAAGCCCUAUCGGCAGGGAAGAAACAGACGGUACCUGACUAAGAAGCCCCGGCUAACUACGUGCCAGCAGCCGCGGUAAUACGUAGGGGGCAAGCGUUAUCCGGAUUCACUGGGGGUAAGGGGAGCGUAGACGGCGACGCAAGUCUGGAGUGAAAGCCCGGGGCCCAACCCCGGGACUGCUCUGGAAACUGCGGCGCUGGAGUACGGGAGGGGCAGGCGGAAUUCCUGGUGUAGCGGUGAAAUGCGUAGAUAUCAGGAGGAACACCGGCGGCGAAGGCGGCCUGCUGGACCGUGACUGACGUUGAGGCUCGAGAGCGUGGGGAGCAAACAGGAUUAGAUACCAGCGUAUCA
rnacentral:rRNA from 1 species